UACGUAGGGUGCAAGCGUUAAUCGGAAUUACUGGGCGUAAAGCGUACGCAGGCGGCUAUGUAAGACAGGUGUGAAAUCCCCGGGCCUAACCUGGGAACUGCAUUUGUGACUGCAUAGCUAGAGUCCGUCAGAGGGGGGUGGAAUUCCACGUGUAGCAGUGAAAUGCGUAGAGAUGUGGAGGAACACCGAUGGCGAAGGCAGCCCCCUGGGAUGAGACUGACGCUGAGACUCGAAAGCGUGGGGAGCAAACAGG
rnacentral:rRNA from 1 species